ensembl:processed_transcript
CUUGAGCAGAGAGUUGCUCAUUGGAAUACUACAAUAUUCAUAUAUUUUACUGGAGCUUCUAAACGGAUUCCUUCACCAUGUCCAACCAGCCUCUGCCACUCUCUCAGGAGACUUUAGCCCAAUUCAAUCGUUCCCAGUCCACAGAACCAGAACCCCCAGGACCUCCUAGGCGUCGUCUGGCCUCCAUUUCCACUCGACGAAGCUCUAAAGACCAGUCUAAAGACCACCCGCACCCCAGACCACUGUUCAUCCGGGCCAUGACGGGUCUUUCCUCCGAGUCCUCGUUCAUGAGUCCCAGCGUGAGCACCUCUCACAUGUCCAUGGGCAAACGCU